rnacentral:rRNA from 1 species
CGGAGUGAACGCACCACUGGUGUUCGGGUUGUCAUGCCAAUGGCACUGCCCGGUAGCUAAGUGCGGAAAAGAUAAGUGCUGAAAGCAUCUAAGCACGAAACUUGCCCCGAGAUGAGUUCUCCCUGACUCCCAGAGGGUCCUGAAGGGACGUUGAAGACGACGACGUUGAUAGGCCGGGUGUGUAAGCGCAGCGAUGCGUUGAGCUAACCGGUACUAAUGACCCGUGAGGCUUAACCUUACAACGCCAGAGGCGUUU